AUAGGUCUCAUUGUGAAAUUAUAAUCAUUUUCCUUCCAUCAGUUUAAGGAUUAUGAUACCUCUGGUAUUUUGAAAGAAAUCUGCAGAAACUGUCCUGCAGUACAGCCUUCUUUGGUAUUUCUUUUUCCUGACUUACUGACCUCCAAAUGACCUGAAUUUUUGAUAUUUUUUACUUCUGUUAGUUAGCAAAGGAUCUGGAAAGUUUCAUCGCAUUUCGACAUAAAGUGAAUGUUCUGUGAAUUUUCCAAGUUUGGUCUGUAAUUGAGAAAGUUCCAGAAUUUUAAAUGUUCCUCUGAUUUUCUGUUGAGAUUUGAACUUCUACUUGAAUCAUUUAAGUUCUGGUUUUUCUGUAUAUUGAACUAGACAUCCCAAUGCUUGUUUGAAAACUGAUUCCUUGUCAUUUGGAUUUGCAAUGAAUUUUUGGUGAAUUUUCUAAGUUGACCAUGCUGCUGAGAAAGUACGUGCGUGGAGGUAUUCAUAGACUCUUUCACAGGGAAGAGGACACUCGAAGUAGCCGGUUGAAAUUGUCAAUAUUCCUGCUGCUAAUGUAGCCUCAAUUUGGUUUUAGUGUUGCAAAGAACAUCAAGUGCAGACAAUCUUGAGGAUCAAUGAUAUCUUUUGCUAUACUAGAUGAAUCACUAGUACAUUCAAACAAUUGAUACCUUGGACAAAAGAAGAGGUCAGAACGUACUCUUAUCUUGGUGUGGUAUGAACUAAAUGGUGGAAUGUUGCAUAAAGAGUCUUUGGGAGAUCGAGCGUGGAGUACAAAGCAAUGCAGCAAGCUAUAUUUUCCUUCAUCAUGUAAAACUUAACCAGGAAACUUAAAUGGUUUUUAGUCUAUGAGAUGUAUGAAUGCUUUAGCAAUGUUCCUUAAAUUCAAUAUUUUAUGAAUUGAUGUAUCACAAUGAUUUUGGUACAAAUGUUGAUCAUUUGAUGGUUUGCAUUCAA